UUUCCGGUUGAUCCCGCCGGACCCGACCGCUAUCGGGGUGGGGCUAAGCCAUGCGAGUCGUGCGCCCCAGGCCAUGGUGGGGCGCGGCGCACGGCUCAGUAACACGUGGCCAACCUACCCUCGGGACGGGGAUAACCCCGGGAAACUGGGGCUAAUACCCGAUAGGCGAUGGCUCCUGGAAUGGGCCAUCGCCUAAAGGGACCUGAGGCCAUGCUCCUCAGGUCCGCCCGAGGAUGGGGCUGCGGCCCAUCAGGUAGUUGGCGGGGUAACGGCCCGCCAAGCCGAAGACGGGUGGGGGCCGUGAGAGCGGGAGCCCCGAGAUGGGCACUGAGACAAGGGCCCAGGCCCUACGGGGCGCAGCAGGCGCGAAACCUCCGCAAUGUGGGAAACCGCGACGGGGUCACCCCGAGUGCCGCCCGAUGAGGGCGGCUUUUCCUCGGUGUAAGAAGCCGGGGGAAUAAGCGGGGGGCAAGUCUGGUGUCAGCCGCCGCGGUAAUACCAGCCCCGCGAGUGGUCGGGACGCUUAUUGGGCUUAAAGCGUCCGUAGCCGGUCCAGCAAGUCUCCCCUUAAAUCCCACAGCCCAACUGUGGGGCUGGGGGAGAUACUGCUGGGCUAGGGGGCGGGAGAGGCCGAGGGUACUCCUGGGGUAGGGGCGAAAUCCUAUAAUCCCGGGAGGACCACCAGUGGCGAAGGCGCUCGGCCAGAACGCGCCCGACGGUGAGGGACGAAAGCUGGGGGAGCAAAGGGGAUUAGAUACCCCCGUAGUCCCAGCUGUAAACGAUGCGGGCUAGGUGUUGGGCGGGCUUCGAGCCCGCCCAGUGCCGCAGGGAAGCCGUUAAGCCCGCCGCCUGGGGAGUACGGCCGCAAGGCUGAAACUUAAAGGAAUUGGCGGGGGAGCACCACAAGGGGUGAAGCUUGCGGUUUAAUUGGAGUCAACGCCGGG
rnacentral:rRNA from 1 species